CAUUGAAAGACAAAGGGGGCAGUGGCUUCACCAAGAGUUCUCAUCUUGUCAAAAUAAAUGCAAAGCAUCAGUGAGUGACCCUGAUGCCUUAUUUGAUGAUGUUAUGUGAUAUGGAGCAGGAAAAUGGAUGCACUGACCUCAAAGAAUACGUGGUAAAUGAGUUUUAAGGGUCUGAUACAUAAUCCAUAACUAAAAAGUUAGAGUUGGAUAGGAUUCAUUUUGUUUGCAAAGAACGGGGUUUCUUUCAGGUGGUAAACAUGGUGUUAACACUUUGUGGAUGGAAAAUGUAAAAUCAGUGAUUGAGAAGUAUCUUAACGUUCCAAUGAAUGUUUAAACACAAUAUGGGCAGAAAGAAGGAGAUGGUGAAGGAUUUGGGCGACACUUUGUCAAAUCAGAUGACCAAAGACUUGAUUGGGCAGAUGUGUUUUACGUGGUCAGUUGGCCACUCUUCUCUCCAUUUGCGGAAGCCAUAUUUAUUUUUGAGCUUGUUAUACACCUCUCAGGAGGUCAGGUUAUAUACUAUCUGUCUUUAAUUUUGGUCUUUGCCAACCACAUGAUUCUAUUCUGCUAUUUCUGUCAAUUUAGUUUUGAUCCUACCUCUUAAGGAAUACAAAGUGGUACUUUUGGUUUUGAUCCUAAAAAUGUGAAAAUCUAACUGAUGGGGUCUUCUUUCUUAGACAUCUCAAAUCUCUAAGCUGUGUAUUAGCAAAAUCUUAGGCCAACAAGUUUAAAUAUUUGUAAAAUCUUCUACCAGGAAAUUAUGUUUAUGUCGAGAUUCGUCUCUAGUUUAAUCACUAGUUAAGAAAACCUACCAGUACCAAUAUUCAGAUCAAUGGAAAAAAGAAAGACGCCUCGCCGAGGGAUCUCUCUAUCUUCUACUGGACCAGCCCAGUCUAUAAGAAGAUCAGGGAUGCAAGCUGAAUUACCUCCUCCAGGAAUCGAUCAUAACAAGCAGAUGAAUGCUGAUGGAGGCUUUAUUAACACCCAAGAAGAUGCGUGGACUGCACAUAAGGCUGAAACAUGAGCAGCGUGCUAUUAUAAUACCGUCACAAAAGAAUCCACAUAUGAGAAGUCUGUAGGUUUUAAGGGGAGAGAGCUGAUGUUUUGUCUUUCCUCCAGUUGACUCUAAGGAGAGUCAUGGAUACGGCAAAGCAAGUCACAAAAUCUGGACUUCUAAAUGACUUUACGAUGGUCUUACUUAAUGACACUCUCUCUUUGCAACUGCGGCCUUUGCUAAUUUCCUUUUCAGUAAAGUGGACUAACUUUUCACUACGCCUCUUCUAAGUAAGCAUCCGUUCUGGCUGGUCAUGACCCCGUGCUCAUAAUUUACAGCUGAAUGCUCAUUACCAGCGGUUUCAGUAUAACAUGCAAAGCCUUUGUCCAUCAAGCACUUCAUAUGGAGGAGCAUAUACAACUUCCUUAUCACAGCUAGUUUCCUCUGCGGUUGAUCAAGCUGCUACUGAUUCUAUGUCUGUUUUUGGUAAUGAGGGACAAUAUUCAUCUGAACUUGAGUUUAGGCCACCAAAUAUUUGUUUAAAGCUGGAGAGAAGAAGAUGGGAACCGAUGAAAAGACUUUCAUCCACAUUUACUGUAUAGCAAGUAGGGCACAUUUGGCUGUUGUCAGUGCUGCGUAUGAAAUGUAUAUAGCUCACUUAUAUAUGUAUAUAUUAUGUGGUGUUAAUGAGAUUGCAUCCUUCUUACAUCCCCUUAGUUUGCUUUUUGUUCACAUUUUGGU